rnacentral:rRNA from 1 species
AUGAGGAAGAGCUGUGGCCUCAACUCCGGCCCCGGGCGGCCCUUCAACGACCGCCGGUGGCUGCUCCCCUUCCUCGCGAGCCUCCUCGUGUCGGUCACCCUCUUCCUGGCCGCCGCCUGCGGCCUCUUCUCACCGCCCUAUUUGGCCGGCGACGACGCCUUCCUCGUCGACGUCGUCUCGUUCACCGACUGGGACGAUGGAGGCUCACCGUCGCAGCGAGACAGCGGCCAGUCAGUGGAACCCGAGGCCAAGGACCCGCUGCUGGAUGACAACGACAACCCCGACAACGCCGCCGUGAACUCGGACGACUCCGACGCCGAGCCGCCCAGGCUGGCGUAUCUCCUGGAGGGCACCAAGGGCGACGGCCUGCGGAUGCGGAGGGUGCUGCAGGCGAUAUACCACCCGCGCAACCAGUACAUCCUGCACUUGGAUCUGGAGGCGCCGCCCCGGGAGAGGAUUGACCUGGCCAUGUACGUCAAGGGGGACCCGAUGUUCAGCCAGGUCGGGAAUGUGCGGGUGAUCGCCAAGGGCAACCUGGUCACGUACAAGGGGCCGACGAUGGUCGCCUGCACGCUCCACGCCGUGGCGAUCCUCCUCAAAGAAGGCUUGGAGUGGGACUGGUUCAUCAACCUCAGCGCCUCGGAUUAUCCCCUCAUGACGCAAGAUGAUAUACUUCAUGUGUUCUCGUCUUUGCCAAGAAAUCUUAAUUUUAUAGAGCACAUGCAAAUAUCUGGAUGGAAAAGGAUCCAAAGAGCAAAACCCAUAGUUCUGGACCCAGGGCUUUAUCUGUCAAAAAAGUUUGACCUUUCUACGACACCUGAGCGGCGAGAAUUGCCAACAUCUUUCAAAUUAUAUACUGGUUCUGCUUGGAUAAUGCUCACGAAAUCCUUCCUGGAGUACUGCAUAUGGGGUUGGGAUAAUCUCCCACGCACCCUCCUGAUGUACUAUGUCAACUUCAUCUCCUCUCCAGAAGGUUAUUUCCAUACUGUGAUCUGCAACUCUGAUGAGUUUCAGGGCACUGCAGUUGGUCAUGACCUGCACUACAUUGCCUGGGACUACCCUGCAAAACAGCAUCCGCUGACCCUCUCCAUGAAGGACUUCAACAACAUGGUCAAGAGUGGCGCGCCCUUUGCACGGAAGUUUCCAAAGGAAGACAAACAAGGUCUUGGACAGGAUCGACCGUGA